rnacentral:rRNA from 1 species
AUUGAACGCUGGCGGCAUGCCUUACACAUGCAAGUCGAACGGCAGCACGGGGCAACCUGGUGGCGAGUGGCGAACGGGUGAGUAAUGCAUCGGAACGUGCCAUUGAGUGGGGGAUAACGUAGCGAAAGUUGCGCUAAUACCGCAUAUUCUGUGAGCAGGAAAGCAGGGGACCGCAAGGCCUUGCGCUCUUUGAGCGGCCGAUGUCAGAUUAGCUAGUUGGUGAGGUAACGGCUUACCAAGGCGACGAUCUGUAGCGGGUCUGAGAGGAUGAUCCGCCACACUGGAACUGAGACACGGUCCAGACUCCUACGGGAGGCAGCAGUGGGGAAUAUUGGACAAUGGGCGCAAGCCUGAUCCAGCAAUGCCGCGUGUGUGAAGAAGGCCUGCGGGUUGUAAAGCACUUUUGUUCGGGAAGAAAUCAUGCUGGUUAAUACCUGGUAUGGAUGACGGUACCGAAAGAAUAAGCACCGGCUAA